rnacentral:rRNA from 1 species
UACGGAGGGUGCAAGCGUUGUUCGGAUUUACUGGGCGUAAAGCGCGCGCAGGUGGAUGAACAAGUCGGAAGUGAAAUCUUGAGGCUCAACCUCGAGGCUGCUCCCGAAACUGUUCGUCUAGGGACUGGUAGAGGCUGGUAGAAUUCCCGGUGUAGCGGUGGAAUGCGUAGAGAUCGGGAAGAAUACCCGUGGCGAAGGCGGC